rnacentral:rRNA from 1 species
AGAGUUUGAUCCUGGCUCAGGAUGAACGCUGGCGGCGUGCCUAAUACAUGCAAGUCGAGCGAACAGAUAAGGAGCUUGCUCCUUUGAAGUUAGCGGCGGACGGGUGAGUAACACGUGGGUAACCUACCUAUAAGACUGGGAUAACUUCGGGAAACCGGAGCUAAUACCGGAUAACAUUUAGAACCGCAUGGUUCUAAAGUGAAAGAUGGUUUUGCUAUCACUUAUAGAUGGACCCGCGCCGUAUUAGCUAGUUGGUAAGGUAACGGCUUACCAAGGCGACGAUACGUAGCCGACCUGAGAGGGUGAUCGGCCACACUGGAACUGAGACACGGUCCAGACUCCUACGGGAGGCAGCAGUAGGGAAUCUUCCGCAAUGGGCGAAAGCCUGACGGAGCAACGCCGCGUGAGUGAUGAAGGGUUUCGGCUCGCAAAACUCUGUUAUUAGGGAAGAACAAAUGUGUAAGUAACUGUGCACAUCUUGACGGUACCUAAUCAGAAAGCCACGGCUAACUACGUG